AGAUUCUAGUUUCUUCGUUAGUUUCCACGCCUCCUCCGAGUCACAUCUCAGUAUCCAUCUCCUCUUCUCUCUCCCUGUCUACUUGGAUCAGCUUUCUUUUGAUUGACGCAGGCUCUCAGGAGGAAGUCGGGGAAAGAGUUCACUAAUCAUGCCAUGGGUCUGGAAUCCUAAAACCUGUUUAUGAUGACCUAUUGUUAAAAGAAGAUGUAGUAAAGGUGCUGUCCUUGGAAAUGCAAAAGCCCUGGACUUGCAUUUUACCUUCUAUUUACUAUCCAUGUAAUCACAGGGUGUUCAUUGACAUCACAAGGCAAGAUAAAAUCAGUUUGCUGACUUAGGUUAAAUGUUCUGCGCUGUCCAAAGUAGCCACAGUAAUGUCCAUUACGAACAUGCCAAACCCUUGAGGAAGUGGAGAGGAAAGAAAAAAUAAAAUUGUGACAGUUAGGCUGUUUGUGAAACCAUUUAUAAACAUGUUUUUAUUCAUCCUUCAGGCUUUUCAAAUUCAUUUAUCUUCUAGAUAACUAAUUCUCAUCCCAUGUAAUAUUAUGAGACAAUUCACAUAGAACAUAUAAUACUUAUGAACAGAACUUUAGGACUACACAACAUUAUUUGUUUAGCAAAGAGGGGACCUAAGGGAGAAAAUGCUUAAGUGAUUCCUCACAAAUGAUGUACAGAGCCAAGCAAGGGUGAUUAAGACCCAGGACUACCAAUGAUACAUAUAUCUGCUAAAUCAAACCCCUAAAAACAAACCUCUUAUAUUGCCUUUAAGUACUGGCACAAGGAGAAAGAUCUAGAAACUGUAUUCUCAAUUGACCUAAGGAUAUAAAAGAGACCCAAUAUCUUGGACAUAUUGUUUAGGACCUCACACGAUUACUUUUAUCUCUCUCUAUGGAGGUGGGGAUAAUUAACAAAUAUUUAUUUAGCCCCUACUAUGUUCUAGACACUUCUGGGCACUGGAGAUACAGAAAAAAAAAAUAAAUUAGUCCAUUCCCUCUAAGUCGUUAUAUUCCAUCAUAUAACUAUACUCAUUUUCAGUUGUUGGUCUCUGAAAAAAUAUGACAGUAGUGGAUCAUUUGGUGAAGGAUAUCUUUUAACAUCAACUUGUCUGUGGUUUUCUUCUAUACAAGAUAACUAAGAGGAAUCCUUACUAGAAAUAUAUACAUAUAUAUCACAAUGACAUUUGAGAGACUUUUACUUUAUUUCCUUAUCUCAUUUCAAAGACCCAAAGGAGAGCAGAAUAGACCCACCUAUCAUGGACCCAGCUUGGGAGGAUAUAGCUAGAAUAAGAAUUUGACCCUAACUUUGGACCCACUCCUCUAAGACUAUCUGCGGUAUCAUUGUUGUAAAGCAUAAAUUAAAUAACAUGUGCAAAGCAAUUUUUAGAAUAAAUGAGAUAUUGUAUGUAAAUCUAUUAUAAUUUUUAUAAGUCUAACAGUGUGAAAGCCUGCAUAACUUUAGGGAUAAAUAACAGUCUUCAGUUUAUUGGACCAGUUGCCGAAGUAUAUCAUCCAGGCUCUGCUGCUGUUCUCACUACACUAGGAGUUCUCCAAGGUUCUGAACCUUCUUUUCCUUGAACCUUAAUUUCCUGAGCUUCAGCUGUACUAGACUUCUGUACUGCUAAACAUUUGCCUUCUGACUGACUUCCUAGUUCUGGUUCAAACCUAGCCUUCAACCAGAUUUGAAAGUGAUGACAUUUAGAAAUAAAUACCUUAGAAAGCUAUCGCCUUUGUUGUGAAAAGAAAUGUGUUUGGGAAGGUUGGUUAGCAAUUUGAAGUAGUAAUUUUGAAGUUAGCAAGAUAGAGGAAACUGAUUUUAAAAGUCAGUGAUACAAAUAAUUCAUAUGUUUACUGAUAAGUUGUUAAAAUAGGGUGGAGUAUAGAGUUGAGAAUAACAUUUUUUGUGUAUGAUAUAAUGUUAUAUUUUGAACAUUCCUAGUAGUCAUCUAGCAUGCAAAAUCAGUCCUGUCAUUCUGCUCCCAAAUAGCAACAGAGCUGGUAAUCACAGCUCUAACCACAGCCUGCUCAUGUGAACUCUUCUCUUAUCCUUUGCUUUCUACAAAUCAUAUAUCCAUGGUAUUUUGGUUUUACAGCCAUUUCUCUGAAUUGUUUUCCUGGGUAAGGUUCUAAACAUUCUUGCUUUUAUUUUUGGUAGGAUUAUUUAAGGUACUUGAGGAUUUAGCAAAUAAUUCUAAACUUAACAUGGUAUUAUUUUGGACCAUAAGAUUAUGAGAUUAAUUUUUCCUUUAAAUCUAUCUGCUUAAUAAUCAGGGAGCUCUACCAUAAAUCUCCUUUUGGUAGAAGUCUUAAGCAUUCACAUACCUUAUUGACCCAUCAACAGAGGAGGUGAUUACCACUUGCUUGUCCUCUAUAUAGAGAACGCCGACAAUUCUCAAACUAUGCCCACGCCAUGCAAUCAGUUGCUUAAAUUUCUAAGUAACAAUAACAAAAUGAAUUCUGUAACAAAAAUAUACUUCAACAAAUACUUAUUUAUAGUUAUAUAGUUUUUAAGGUAUGCAAGGCAUUUUCCUCACAACAACUUUGUGAGGCAGGUAACAUAGUUAUUAAUAUGCCCAAUUUUACAUUUAGUGUACUAAGAGCUUCAGUAUAUUUCUCAUGAUCAUACAGCUACUAAGAAUUUGAUGUGGGAUUUAACCCUAUAUUUCCUGACUUUAGGAGUAACACUUGCUAUUAUACUAUUGUGUCUCUUAUACAUGUUCAAGGCAUGAUAAUAGGAAAUAAUAAGCAAAUUCACAUAUGUCACAAGCAUAUUCAGUUAGAAAGAAUAGGCAGAUGCCAACAUAGUAUGAUUUAAGGGAUGCUGGUCAAGGUGCUAUCCAAAAUAUUUUCUUCCAUUCCUAGUCAUGGUAACUUUAAUUUUUUUCAUAAUUAGGAAUGAGUUUCCUUUCACCUCAUACUUUUCUGUCCUCAAGAAUUCAUUCUUGACCUAAGCAUAUGCAUAAUAGCUUACAGAGUAUAAAUAUUCUUUAAAAAAGUCUUACUUUAACACUCAUCUUACAAUGGAAUUAAUCCUGCAUCCAUGAAGGAUUGUGACACUGGAACAAAUGUUCUAUUUGGGUGUGACAAAGCUGGAAAGGCUUGUUUUGAAAAGAGUAUGGUCCUGGCAACAGAAUGUAUCUGUUGCCUAAGGACCAAUCUAGCAAAAUAUGGUACUGGUAAUAUAUGUUAACUGAGAACCAGAUGGGAUAAAGUGAUCAAAUUGAAUAGUGAUAGGAACAUGGGAAAACAAGCCUAAUAUUACAGUGCUAGAGGAAUUAUAUAUUAAGAGCUAGAAGCUGUUCAUACUCACUGACCUGGUGAUCCUAUUACUAGGGGUAGGCCCUAAGGAUACUAUUGAGAGAGUCAGAACCUGUGUUUGUAUGAAAAUAUUCAUGGAGACUUUGUUCAUUAUGAUAAAAAUAACUGGAAAUAACACAAAUGCAAUGAAUGGGAGAAACAGUUGAAUCAUUUGUGAUAUUUGAAUAUAAUGGAUUAUAUUAUGUUCUUGAAAUGACAAAUAUCAGAAAUAUAAAGAAAAUAAGGGAAAUAUAUGAAGAGAAGAAAAGAUAGAAAAGAAAAUAAGAAUACAUACCGUGAAUACAUUAAAAAAACAACAGCCAGGGCAGUUAGGUGGCUUAGUGGAUUGAGAGCCAGGCCUAGAGACAGGAGGUCCUAGGUUCAAAUCUGACCUCAGACACUUCCUAGCUCUGUGAACCUAGUCAAGUCAUUUAAUUCCCAUUUCCUAGCUCUUAUCACUCUUCUGCCAUGGAAAUGAUUGUAUUGAUUCCAAGACAGAAGUUAAGGGUUUUUAGAAAAACUAGAAAAAUAAAAUAAAAAUAAAAAUAACAGCCACAAAAUUAAGAGAAAAAAUCCAAGUAAAACCAUCCCAAAGGGAAUUCAAAAGCAGAGGAUGUUUAUAUUAUCAUGCAUAUAUAAUUUGCAUAUUUUAAAAUAAAUUGUAAACAAUGUGGAAUUUGAGGUUUUUGCACUUAAUUAUUUAUGCAUUUAUUUAGUUACAUGAUUUUUGUUGGUAAUGAUGAUUAACAAGAAAAAGAAUUAUUGAAAUUUAAAUAUCUUUGAUACAUGACAUACCUUAAGCUUUUGUCAGUUUUAGACCUAAACUAGCCUCUUGCUAUGAGCAAGACUCUGAAAGAAGAAACAUAUAGACUUUUGGGAGAGAAAAGAACACUAGUAACCAGACUGGGAAAAGAAUUUUCAAAAGGAAAGGGUAAAUGGAAGAGCCAGAUGUGUGUGUGUGUGUGUGUGUGUGUGUGUGUGUGUGUGUGUG